GCCGGGCGCGGUGGCUCAAGCCUGUAAUCCCAGCACUUUGGGAGGCCGAGAUGGGCGGAUCACGAGGUCAGGAGAUCGAGACCAUCCUGGCUAACACGGUGAAACCCCGUCUCUACUAAAAAAUACAAAAAAAAAAAAACUAGCCAGGCAAGGUNNNNNNNNNNACCUUGCCUGGCUAGUUUUUUUUUUUUUUUUUAUUUUUUAGGAGAGACGGGGGUUUACCGUGUUAGCCAGGAUGGUCUCGAUCUCCUGACCUCGUGAUCCGCCCGUCUCGG
rnacentral:SRP_RNA from 1 species